GAUGAACGCUGGCGGCGUGCCCAAUACAUGCAAGUCGAGCGAACAGACGAGGAGCUUGCUCCUCUGACGUUAGCGGCGGACGGGUGAGUAACACGUGGAUAACCUACCUAUAAGACUGGGAUAACUUCGGGAAACCGGAGCUAAUACCGGAUAAUAUAUUGAACCGCAUGGUUCAAUAGUGAAAGACGGUUUUGCUGUCACUUAUAGAUGGAUCCGCGCCGCAUUAGCUAGUUGGUAAGGUAACGGCUUACCAAGGCGACGAUGCGUAGCCGACCUGAGAGGGUGAUUGGCCACCUUGGAACGGAGACACGGUCCAGACUCCUACGGGAGGCAGCAGUAGGGAAUCUUCCGCAAUGGGCGAAAGCCUGACGGAGCAACGCCGCGUGAGUGAUGAAGGUCUUCGGAUCGUAAAACUCUGUUAUUAGGGAAGAACAAAUGUGUAAGUAACUAUGCACGUCUUGACGGUACCUAAUCAGAAAGCCACGGCUAACUACGUG
rnacentral:rRNA from 1 species